UCCAGACUGGGCAACAAGAGUGACACUAAGUCUAAAAAAUAAAAUUAAAAUUAAAAAAGAAAGUUAUAAGGGGCUUACAUUUUAUAACUCAACAAGAAAAGCCAAAGUAUCUAUCCCUUUCAGAAAAUAAACAUGUAAUUUAAUUAUGUUCAUAACAAAUCAUUUAGUAAACAAUCAUAUGUGAACACUUCCAGGCGGUGCCAAGUCCCAGCUCCUAAAACUUAGCGUUACCCUCAAACACCCAGAUGACAGCAUAUGGAACAGAGAUACUCACUAUCAGAAGUUCUCUGUUUUGAAAAAAGAAUAACUGAUGUGAUAAAUUUAUGUAAUUUAACAAUUAAUCUACCUCACGUGCUUGUAGGUAUGUAUUCAUUUCGUACCACCGUAGUGGAAGAGAGACUAUCCCUAUCAAUACACCUGGUAACAUUCCCAACAGUAAGUCGUGAGAUUCUGCUUGAAAUCACCUCUCAGACAAAUAAAAAACAGUCCUGGGAAAUGUACGACACUCAUUCUGCUAAAGAAAUAGGGCAAGAAAGCUUUCUAAGACCCCGAACUCCAGAUAUGCGAUGGGGCAAAUCCUGAAGCGUACAUGGCUAUCUCUCACAGCUAAAGCAUCCCUCACCCCUAUCCAGCGCUUCUUACCCCUGGCGCAAGAGAAUCACCUGCGGGGAGGAAAACUUUCAAAAUCCCUUAAACCCAAGUUGUAACCGCACAACUAAAUCAGAAUCCUUGGAGCUGGAUCUGAAAAAAAUAUGGUUGAAAGUCGUGCAGGUGAUUACAAUGUGUAGGCAAGCCAGAAAACCAUGGCUUUAACGAGCAGCUUUUGUUAGAAAUGAUUUCUCCAAUGAAUGUGAAAACGUUUGCUGCUGAAUUGUGACCUUUCCAUUUUACCUGCUUUUCCUGCAAAGUAUAUUUUGCAGACCCAGGCUGGCUUCUCCUUCUGUUCCUGGUUCACCCAGUGCCGUGUGUGCUCAGUGCAUCCUGUGCACGGGUCACUGUGUGCCCUGGCCUGGGUGAGCAUCAUUCUUCGGGGAGAACCUUGAUGAAAACAAAGCUGCAUUCCAAAAAGUUAAAACCAUGCUACUUACUGUGUUGAAGUAAAAAUUAAAAGACCCAGGGGGGCUCACCCAAAAGUUAAAACAUAAAUAAAUAACUUGGAACAUUAACAUACACCUGAUGAUGUCCUGAGUGAACACGCCCCACUUGAAAACAAAACAAAACAUUGCUAUUAUUCUAAAAUAUUAAUUUAGGAUUGUUAUGCAAACAUGCACUCUUUACAUUUUUAUUGAUAAAUAACAUGCAUACAGCAAUAUAGGCACAAAGCAUUUAGGGAAUGUUUGAUGAAUUAUUACUAAAUAAAUACACUUGUGUAUCUAAGAAUCAGAUUUGUUCAUGCCCCUGACACUUUCCCCUUCCCAAAGGUAACCAAGACCUUAAGAGCUAAGUGUAGAUAAACUUUGUCAUUUUGUACAAGUGUUUUAUUACAGAUCACUAAAAACAUACACAAUACAAAAAAAGUAUAACAGACCAGUCACCCAGCUUUAACAGCUGCUAGUCAUGUGUCAUUUUUGUUUUAUCUAUACUUCCAGCCAUGCCCCCACCCCCAAUUUCAUUAUUUUUUAGGCUUUUUGGAUAAAAUGUAUAUUCAUUGCAAGGUACAAUGCGAACUGUAAAUAGUAGAGAGAUGGGGUUUUACCAUGUUGGUCAGGCUGUUCUUGAACUCCUGACCUCAGGUGAUCCACUCUCUUCCACCUCGCAAAGUGCUGGGAUUACAGGCGUGAGCCAAUAUACUCGGCCUGAGAAUUCAUAUUUCUAAUAAAGUACAAAUCCAUAGGGCACAUGACAACUGCAAUGUCUAUCUACAGUAAAAACAGUUUGAUGAAUAAAAUGAAAGGCAAUUGACUUAAGGUGGGAAAAAAACAAUCAAAGCAUGGGUACUAUGUGCCAUCUGUAGGAGCAUUUGGUUAAGAAUAACAAACAAACCAGUUUUAUUGUUUUAAUAACCGAAAUUGGCAAAAUUUCUAGUUUUUCUUUCAUAGGAAUGCUCUUAGCAAGAAAAAAUUUUCAUAUGGUGAGAGCAAAAAUGACAACCAUUUGCAAGUAAAUGUCUUAUGAAAUUAAGUAGCAGAUAUCAAGCUCAUGACCUUCAGAUUGUUACCCCUAACUCAAUCAUUUACAUAGCAAGUGCAGAUAAUUUUCAUAGUUCCCCAUUAAAAUUAUACUUUACUCCCCUUACAAAUUGUGACUGUUUUUAAAUAAAGUUCACUAACUAAAAUUUUGUAUAUGACAUAUGAUAAAUUUCCCUUCAAGUCACCUUAUAUUUACUUAAUUGUGUUAGCCAGUGUCUGUCUACCUCCCAACAAUACUUUGGGAUUCUCCCUCCAUUUGCACAGGCAUCAUAGCUGGGGAACAGGGAUUCAAAAGACCCAGGCUGUUCCCUACAUAUGUUUCCUCCUCAGACAUCAGUUAAUCAGUCAAUCAAGUCAAGUGAGAGUGGAGGCCAUGUAUUCCCUCUUAUUCUUGGGCACUCUCCUCCAAGGAGGAAAAGGCCAGGAGGUCCUGUUAGAGGAUGCACUCUGAGAGCCCGGGCUCCCUAAGGUAUGAGAGUUCUAACCAGCAGGUGUAGACUUUUCAGGAGUGAGGAAUGAGGCAGGCAUUCCAAACCUGGAGCUUCAUCACCUUUUGUUUCAUCUCAAGACAAUUCUGAGGGGCUGUUUUGGAGCGUGUCUGGAAGGUGAACGUUGAAGAAGAGUGUGGGCUUUGAUGUGACUCAGAUGAGAUCUUUCAUGGGGAGGCAGGAAUUCAAUGCCCAGAAUCUGGGCUGGUGUCUUUGAGGUCAGUAGGUUGCCUCUUUGUAUCCAAGUCCAUUGUUACUAAAUUGGAGGCUGGAGAUUCUAAAUGGCUUCCAGACCAUCUCUCUGAUUCUCUUUGGGAGAUUGGGUCUGAAAAAGACAAUGUCAGUAUUUUUGGGAAAUUCUAGAAAGUCUGCUUGGAAACCUGGGAAGACCUCUUGCCUAGUGCCUAAAUAUUCAAUGUGCAGCUCUAGCCAUGUAGAUGCUUGGUAGGUAUAGAGCUGGGUUUUCAUUUAUAUCAGCAAAACCUAUGUCAGAGUUGAAGAAGUAGUCAAGACAAAGUGUCUUGGUCGCAGGCCGGGGAACAUCUUAAAAGCAAACUUCUAGCCUGAUGACUCUUGGCAAUGAGUGUUGGGUCCUGGCUAAAGUGCCUUGAAUGCAGCAUGAGGCCAAUCCAUGAAUCCAACUUCCAAUGGAGAAAUGUUAAUAUUUUUUCAGUUUGAAUCAAUCAGGGUGAAAUUACCUUGCUAUUGGUUUGCUUACUUUUUAUUAUUUCAUAUAAAAUCUAAGACAAAAUACAUUAAAUGCUUAUUGAUAUAUGUAUUUAUUCUUCACCUGGCUCAUAAUAUUUGCCUAAUUUUAAACUUUCUUCUAUUUUGUAGGUUUCAACUUAUUUCAUUGUAAGAUAUUGUUAAAUCUAAUACGGGCAUUGUCACUUUUACAAAUAAUUUUAUUUUAUUUCAUGUAUUUCCUAUUCACUUUUUACAUUUAAAUUAUGGACCAUUUCAUCAUAUAAAAAGCUCCAUUUCUAUUUUAAAAAUAAGUCUUUGGGUUUUUUUGUCUUGUAAUUUCCAUAUUACAUAGUAAUGAGAUAAACGUUAAUGUUUUCAGGGUAUUUUAAAUUUUAAAUAAUUACUCAUUAUAUCCACGUGAAAUUUGUUUUUACUGCAUGUGUGAGUUGGAGAACCGUUUUCACUUCUGACUCAUCUUUACUGUGAUCUCCUCAGAACUCAUACCUCUUGUAGUUGGGAGAUUGCAGUAUAUAAUUCCAAUAAAUGGGGCAAAUUCAAUAAUAACAUAAUACAAAUGAGUUUGAAAGCAGGACAUGUCUUCAAAGCAUACACAACAUGGGCCUAUAUAUGUACAACAAUAAUAAUUUAUAAGUUACAGUUUGGAUGGGAAUUAAAAGUACAGAAAAUUUGUUAAAAUAAAUUAAAAUGGAGAUCACGUCUCAAUAAUCUCUGAGCAGACGAAAUUAGUUAGGUCUCAUAAGUGAUCUCAACCUUGCUUGAUUUGCAAAUACAAGCAAAACUUAAAUAUUUCUUGUAGCUGCCUAUUUAAAAAAGAGAAAUGAAGCUCAACCAAUCAGGAGUAGCCAACAUCCUUAUAUAAAUAGAAACUGUCCAACAAGAUAAACAGACGAACAAAAAACAAUAAAAAAGUUGUGCUACCACCAAUCAAAUGAUUUUUUUGUUUCUACAUUUUUUCAAUAAAUACUUGCUUCUUACUCUGUCAGAGAAGCACUAAAUAACUUUUGGUCUGAUAUUUUAUAAUUUAUCAAUUGCUCUUACUCAAAUAGACACUUGGCAAUUUCAUUGUGUCUCAAAUUACUUUUUAGCAGAAUAAAAUAAACUAGGAAUAAACAUUACAAAAAUGUGUACAGAAUAUGAGAAAAA